AUUAUAUAGCAAAAUAUCUAGUAAGAAGUGAAGAAAUAAAAUCUAAUAGUAAUAUAUGCCCAGAUCUACCAAGGAGUCUAAUAAACAUUAAGGAUACGACAGAAAAAGAAAUAAUUAUAGGAGUUAGAAAAAUAAAAAUAGAAUUUGAAAUAAAGGAAGAAAUGCAAAUAGCAGAUAUAAUAUUAGGAAUAAAAUAGUUAGAACAAGUAAAAUUAUACAACAUAGAACAUACAUAAUUAUCUAUAACAUAUAAUAAAGAGAAAUUAUUCAUAAAAAGAACUUUAACAUGAUCUGAAAAUAUAUGUACUUGUAAAAAUAAUAGUAGAA
rnacentral:lncRNA from 1 species